rnacentral:lncRNA from 10 species
CUGGGGCCUCCCGGGAGGAGAGAGGGCUUUGCCUUGAAACCCGGGACGCCAGGGGCGCUCCCGCAAGUGGGGGUCCUCCGGGACUUGGAACGCCCCGGCUGGGUGGUGUCCGGGCGUCCUUUCCCCGCUUCUUCCCACCUCGGCUGGUCCCGUUUCCUCCUGCGCCCAGUGCGGACCUGUCUCGGCGCCCGCUGCCCUCUCACCGCCCCACGCAGGAUCCCGGCCUGGUCACCGGGCAGUGUGAUGCUUCCCGACUGCCGCGGGGACAGCGAGGCACACACAGGGCUUGGGCCGCGCCGGAGGCCACACGGCCUGGCUGAGUUGCUCCUGGUCUCCCGCCUCUCCCAGGCGACCCGGAGGUAGCAUUUCCCAGGAGGCACGGUCCCCCCCAGGGGGAUGGGCACAGCCACGCCAGAUGGACGAGAAGACCAAGAAAGAUUCCUCAUGGUGCAAAAUGGCCAUUCCAGCUCCAUCCAGCCAUCACAUCACAGGAGGAAGGGAAGAAAGACACCCCUCCACACUCUUCUAAAGAGCAUAGCUCAAAAAUUGUACACACUUCUUCCGUUAAUUCCUGUGGACCAGAACUGAUUCCCACAGCUACAGUUCAGCUUGAGGGGAGACUGUAUAGCCAAGAUAUUCAGCUAGAAUUCAGGGGUUCGCUUGGUAAGGGAAGGGAAGAGAAUGGAUACUGUCGGUCUGUGCUCCAGGAGACUUAAACUCAAUGCUGAAACACUUUGCACAAUGCCUGGCGUGUUAUGCACUCAAUAAUAAACAUUAGUGUCUAUCGUUA